GAUGAACGCUAGCGGCAGGCCUAAUACAUGCAAGUCGAACGAUAUUUUCCAGCUUGCUGGGAGAGAAAGUGGCGCACGGGUGCGUAACGCGUAUGCAACCUACCUUUAUCAGGGGGAUAGCCCGGAGAAAUCCGGAUUAAUACCGCAUAAAAUCACAGAACGGCAUUGUUCAAUGAUCAAACAUUUAUGGGAUAAAGAUGGGCAUGCGUGUCAUUAGCUAGUUGGCGGGGUAACGGCCCACAAAGGCGACGAUGACUAGGGGAUCUGAGAGGAGGGCCCCCCACACUGGUACUGAGACACGGACCAGACUCCUACGGGAGGCAGCAGUAAGGAAUAUUGGUCAAUGGAGGCAACUCUGAACCAGCCAUGCCGCGUGCAGGAAGACUGCCCUAUGGGUUGUAAGCUGCUUUUAUCCGGGAAUAAACCUCCGAUCGUGAUCGGAGCUGAAUGUACCGGAAGAAUAAGGAUCGGCUAACUCCGUGCCAGCCGCCGCGGUAA
rnacentral:rRNA from 1 species